CCUACGGGAGGCAGCAGUGGGGAAUAUUGCACAAUGGGGGAAACCCUGAUGCAGCGAUGCCGCGUGAGUGAAGAAGUCCUUCGUUAUGUAAAGCUCUAUCAGCAGGGAGGAACAUGACGGUACCUGAGUAAGAAGCACCGGCUAACUACGUCCCAGCAGCCGCGGUAAUACGUCGGGGGCAAGCGUUAUCCGGAUUUACUGGGUGGAAAGGGAGCGUAGACGGCAGUGCAAGUCUGGAGUGAAAGGCGGGGGCUCAACCCCCGGACUGCUCUGGAGACUGUACGGCUGGAGUGCAGUAGAGGUAAGUGGAAGUCCUAGUGUAGCGGUGAAAGGCGUAGAGAUUAGGAGGAACACCAGUGGCGAAGGCGGCUUACUGGACUGUAACUGACGUUGAGGCGCGAAAGCGUGGGGAGCAAACAGGAUUAGAUACCCCAGUAGUC
rnacentral:rRNA from 1 species